GUCUACAGCCAUACCAUCCUGAACAGGCCUGAUCUUGUCUGAUCUCAGAAGCCAAGCAGAGUCAGGCCUGGUUAGUACUUAGAUGGGAGACAAAGAAUAACAUUGUUUCUACAUACA
rnacentral:rRNA from 1 species